ACGAAUUUAUUGGAGUUGUGCUGGUUCUUACAAGUGCACGCUCCUUACAAUUCCAUUCACACCCAAUGUGCACUCUAAGAGACGUAUCUCCCCCGUUUACGUGUGCCUUUAAUGGCUCGGGAUUUCGUCUGUUUAACACACACUUUUUGUAAUAGAAUGUCAUUUGGCUUAAAUGCCUAAAACUUUAAAA
rnacentral:misc_RNA from 1 species